rnacentral:ncRNA from 1 species
GCCCAGGGUAAGUCGGGACCUAAGGCGAGGCCGACAGGCGUAGUCGAUGGACAACGGGUUGAUAUUCCCGUACCCGCUUUGAAGCGCCAACGCUGAACCAGGUGAUGCUAAGGCCGUGAAGCCGCCCUGCGACCUUCGGGUUUAGGGGAGUGGUGGAGCCGCCGGCCCAAGUCUGUAGUAGGUGAGCGAUGGGGUGACGCAGGAAGGUAGUCCAGCCCGGGCGGUGGUUGUCCCGGGGUAAGGGUGUAGGACGAACGGUAGGCAAAUCCGCCG